rnacentral:misc_RNA from 1 species
AAGUCGUAACAAGGUUUCCGUAGGUGAACCUGCGGAAGGAUCAUUACAGUGUGCGAGGGUUGUAUGGCCCGAGCAGUGAGAGGGUGUGGUUUUGAUGUGGGGGUUAGUGGGUAUGCAAGUACCCACGAACCUUUUUCAACACAAACAAUGCGAUUUUGAACAAGGUAUGAGCAAGUGAUUACGACACACAACUGUCACCGGUGGAUCUCUUGGCUCGU